GCUUACUAGUUUUGUCUCUUCCCGUUUUAGAUUUGGUUGUCAUUUCCCAUUUGGGACCGUCCGUCUGUCCGUCUGAUCGAUGAUGACUAGCUAUGUUUACCGUUUUAUUAUUUCCGUUCCUUUCAUCAAGUUUGCAGUUCGAGUUAUGUAACCCAAAGACGUAUGCUUUGCUUCAGAAGUAUUAUUGACUAGUAGUACUAUUGCGUCUUAAAUUCCUGUUAAGCUGAGAUUUGAUUAUGUGUGCAUGUGCAUUGCAACCCGUCUCGCAUGUUAUCUUUUCCUCUGGAGAGACAAAAUUUUUUAACCUCAACUGGUCAUAAAGAAAAUGUAACAAAACGGAACGGAACGCAUCACGUGUAUGCAAGUGUCAGCGCCGCGCUAACGUAAUUUGUGCAUGCACUACCAUAACAAAAACCGCGCUUCAGCACGUGCAGAACACAUUCCUCGCGGCGACUCGAAAACCUGCACGCGGCCCAACGGCAAGCUAAAGACAUGCCCCGUCGUUCUCAAAAAAAAAAGACAUGCCCCGUCGUUCUCAAAAAAAAAAAAAGACAUGCCCCGUCUCGCACUGUCACAGUAGUGCAUCGGAUGCCCUUGUCGUCUUUUACCAUGGCCAAUGCCAUAUCCAUAUGCACCUGCAUGCAUGUGCCGGCCGGCCAGGUGCGAGAGAUGCGGUCAAAAGCAUCGCUCGUCCAGGCAAGUUUCCGGCCCUCGCGGCGGGCGGCGUCGGCACCAGGUCCAGCGGAUUGGCUACGGCAGCUCCCGGCGAGAUUCCCUCCCUCCCUCUCUUCUUCGGUUAUCUCGCCUCGCUUUAUACAUGGCCUCAGCUUUGGCUCGCCGCUUUCCUUCUUUCUUUAGGCCUCUCCUUUGGUUUCCUUGUCUCUUUGUAGUAUGCGUGUCUUUUAUCGUGGGGAGGAGGAACCAAAGGCGGCCGCCCGGCCCGGGGGUAGCUAAAGCCUUGCUGCUGCUGGUGCAGACGCUGCCUUUGGAGGCACCGUGUUCCGUUGCUUGACCUCCUUUGCAGUUGCGCGCGACGGCGAGUGACCACCACAUUGCACGGAUUUUCAAGAUGAUGGCCACACCAAAGUACGUACUAGUAGUAGUGGCUUUUGGAGGAGCGGGGUGGCAUCGUGGAGUUCACCUGAAUCCCUAACUAAACUCGAACCUACUACUGACGAUGUGUUUCCCCCCUUUCGGAUGGUUUUACUGCAUACUUGCGAGCAUUCCUGAACUUAUAGGAUUCUAAAAAGGGGAUACCGUUUCGAAAUAAGUGGCUCUCCCUCCGUCUCAAAAUAAAUGUCUCGACUUCGUACUAACUUUAGUACAAAGUUGUACUAAGGCUGAGACAUUUAUUUUGGAAUGGAGAGAGUACUACUUAUAACAAACAGUUUGGAAAACUUGCACGGAAUUAUGUUCGAAUUUGAAGAGAGAAAAAACAAUUCUGCCUCCUAUCUAUUUUUUGAAUGUUGGUAGGAGUUCUACCAAAUUCAUUGAUCAGUAAGGAGUAAAAACAGUACAGAAGGGUGCCCAAUAAAAAAUGAACAAAGCACCUAAGAAAGGGUGCUAAAAGAGGAAAAAACAAGCCAACAAAUCAGCCUGGGUCGAAGGGGAUCCUUGCUCCUGCCAUGUUCCAGAUUCUAAUUUCCUCCUUAAUUCUCCUCAACAGCGUGCUAGUAUCCAUCCGCUUGUUGUCGAACAGCCGUCUGUUUCGUUCGCACCAUAUUUCCCAAGAGAUUAGGUGCAGAAGAGACAAGGUCCCUUUCUUUUUUGCGAUCGGUGCUUUUUGCCAGCAGCUUUGCAUCCAUCCUCCAACGCUGUGCAGCUCCAUCCAGGAGAUUGGCCGCAAUGAUGGCAAGGCAGCCACAGCCGCGAUCAAGUCCCAGGCCUUCCUUGCCCACGGGCAUUCCACAAGAAGAUGGAAGGCAGUUUCCAGAUUUCUCUGACACAAAGGACAGAAAUAGUUGUUCUCCCAUCCGCGCCGCAGCAACACAUCGGCCGUCCCGUCAAAUUCUGCCUCCUAUCUAUGAUACAAAGGUAUGCCCCUGUUUGUUCUGCCUCAUAUCUAUGAUACAAAGGUAUGCCCCCGUACGUUCAAAGCAUAUUGUUAUACUCCCUUAUUUCAUAAUGUUUAAGUAUUUUUGAAAAAUCAACCCUGACAAACUUUGACCAAAUUUAUGGAGAAAAAAUAUUUACAUCUAGAAUGUCAAACAUGUAUCGUUAGAUUCAUCGUAAGAUGUAGUUUCAUAUUUUUAUAUAUUUGGUAAUGUAGAUAUAAAUAGUUUUCUUUAUAAACUUACUCAAAGUUUGGCUUUUAAAACAAAUGCAUUAUGUUAUGGAACGGAGGGAGUACUUUUUACAUAAAUCAUUCAAUACAAAUGUCUCAUAUUCCUAAAUAGCGUUGAACCUAGUAUAAAUUUUUAGCCAUGCUCUUUGGGCAUUGAAAGAUUUUCAAGUGAAACUUGCAAGGUUUUAGUUCUCUCUUCGUGUGAAAACUCAUGACCUAGCCUAUGGCUAGAUCAGGCAAUGUUGACAUACACAUGUUGUUACCUUGUUCAAGAUGUUGGUUCAAAGCCUUCUUCGAGGGUGACAGCUCUUAACAUCUGGUUGGACCAACCAAUAUCAGCAUGUGAGCGACGAUUCCUUCUUGAAGGCGUUGUCUUGGAUUGAUGUGUACUUUUGUGACGCCCUCAAUUUAAUCGUACACUAAUCAUACACGCAAAUGUGCACGAUCAAGAUCAAGGACUCACGGGAAGAUAUGACAACACAACUUUAGACACAAAUAAAAUAAUACAAGAUUUAUAUACAAGCCAGGGGCCUCGAGGGCUCGAAUACAUAAGCUCGAUCUUAAACGAGUCAGCGGAAACAACAAUAUCUGCGGAUAGACAUAAGUUAAACAAGGUGCCAUAAGAUGGCUAACACAAACAGGCAUACAGAUCGAAGCGGUGCAUGCCUCCUGCCUGGGAUCCUCCUAAACUACUCUUGGUCGUCGGCGGCCUGCACGUAGUAGUAGGCACCCUCGGUGUAGUAGGGGUCAUCGUCGGUGGCGUCUGGCUCCGGGGCUCCAGCAUCUGGUUGCGACAUCCGAGAAGAAUGGAAAAAGGGGGGAAAGAGGGAGCAAAGCAACCGUGAGUACUCAUCCAAAGUACUCGUAAGCAAGGAUCUACACUACAUAUGCAUCGGUAUCAAUGAAAUGGGUAGUAUCUAUGGAGUGAACUGCAGAAUGCCAGAAUAAGAGGGGGAUAGCUAGUCUAUCGAAGACUACGCUUCUGGCGGCCUCCAUCUUGAAGCAUAUAGAAGAGAGUAGCAAGUAUAGCCUCAACUAACAUCAUAUAGCAUAAUCCUACCCGACGAUCCUCUCCUCGUCACCUUGUGAGAGAGCGAUCACCGGGUUGUCUCUGGAACUUACCUGGGCGUGAUUGAUUAAGUAUCUGGUUCUAGUUGUCAUGAGGUCGGAAUACAACUCCAAGUCUCCUGUUACCGUGGACACGGCUCGUAUUCGUCUUCUAGGAUUCCAUAUUUAGAUUCUUCUAGGGUUGAAUUGUAUUUUUAUUGAUCAAUUAGAAUUGACUUCUAGAACGUAUAAUUGUCUAAAAAGGCAUUUCUUCGAUUUGUUCUCCUCUUCUAAGGUUAUAGCUUUCGUGCUAGCUUCAUCGAUGUUACCCACCAAAUAAAGAGCUUGUUCAGGUAGGCCGUCUAAUUCUCCGGAAAAAUCUCGUGCUGAAGAGCGUGGAGGUUCGUUUCGGUAUAUUGAAAUAUAAACAUAAAAAAGAAGAUAGAGGAUAGGCUCAUUACUUAAAAAAAAGCUUGCAAAUGGAGUCCUGAACUAGCCGCAGCUUGUGAAGUAUGGAAGGCGAUCAAAUUCGAGUUCGCUCGGGCCCCCCUGGAAGGGGGCCUUCUUUGCCUUCCUUUAAAUUGAGUAUCCGUUUCCCUCCUUUUCCCGCUAGGAUCGGAAAUCCUUUUCUAUAUGGGUUGCCCGGGACUCGAACCCGUUAAUUAUGUCUCUCCUAGAGGUUGGUUAUCAACUUCUCAUUUUAUUCUAGGAUUCUACUUUUUUUGUGGGCCAGGCAGUUAUAGAUGCCCUAACAAAACUUCGACCCAAUUUUUCCUUUUUUUUUGAUUCCUUAGAAUCUUUUUUUUCUUUCUGGCGGUAUCAAACAACCACCUAAUAUCUUAUCCGCCUCUUCAGGAAAAUGAAUAUUUUUCUGUUUUAACAAAUUCAAUAUAAAAAAACCAAACUUUUUCUUUUAUUUUCUUUUUGAAAAAAAUGGAUUUCAUUGAAGUAAUAAAACUAUUCCAAUUCGAAUAAUGAUAGUAUCUUGUACCUGAACCGGUGGCUCACCUUUUCUAAGUAAUGGGGAAGAAUUUUAAUGUAAGAAUAAAGAAUUGAAUUAAAGGGCUUGCUUUGGAACCAGGCCAAUUUGGGAGCGGCUUUGUGAUAAUGGAACCAACCAGCAAAAAGCAUUAACACUGCAAAAAUCCAAAAUAGAAUUAGUCCCGCUCAUUAUGAACCGAAAGGGGCUCGUAUUUUGCCAAGAAAUCUCUAGCCAACCUUCCCACAAGAGGUUUUUCUUAACACCUCCGAUGCGAAAGUAAUUGUGCAUCAUUCGCAUACUUGUAGCAGCUUCAAAUAGAUCAGACAUAGUUUGGAAGUUAGACCUUUUUAUAGGACUCUCUUUCAAUUUCAAAAAAGAGGACGUUUGAAACUUCGAAUCUGUUGUCAUUCUACUGCAACAGUUGUACUGCAACAGUAGUACAGUGUGAAUUUGCCAGUACAUUCAAUGUACUGACCCUUUGUGGCUGCAACGUCUCAUGUUGCAGGACUUCUUACGACGAGUAAGUGAUACGUUAGGGUUACGAUUUCUACACUCAACUUUGCCGUUGGUGUUGAUGGGAUACUUCCACUAUUUGGAUUGAGGUAAUAGUAUUUACAUUAUUUUAUACAUGUGAUUUACCUCUGUUAUAAAUCCUCGAGUACUGUGUGUGUCAGCAUACCGAUCCAGGGAUGACACUUAAGCACAGAGACUUGACCGUCUAAGGUCGGGUCGCUACAAGAUGGUAUCGGAGCACAUGUUGACUGUAGGACGUGACCCCUAGAAACUGGCAAACCCAUAGGAAGGAUUUUCUCUAAAACUUUCUUUUUCAAAAGAUCUUUUACCUCUCUUCUCUUUUGAGCUUAUUCAAAUAUUCACUUUUAGUGAGACCAUACCCCUUUUUCCCUUUUGACCACUCGAAGAUUCGGCUGACGAGACCACUCCAAGAAGUACAAGAUAUCGGACAACCACGACUGUCGUGGAAUUGUCACGGCAGAUGUCCUCAAGCUAGGACUUAGUCGUGGAGCCAUCGCCGCUAGGAAGCUUGAAGGGGUUAACGGGACAAGGAACACGAGGGUUUAUACUGGUUCGGACCCUUACGGUGAAGGUAAAAGCCUACGUCCAGUUGAGGUGGUAUUGAUUAGGGUUUCGAUGACCAGGGAGCUUAACUGCUAUGCCCGGCUCUCGAUGAGAUCUUUCUUGUCCCUAAACCGCUGCCGGGUCGUCCCUCUAUAUAGGGAGGCUGAUGCCCAGCAGCUCUCAGAGUCCCGGCCGGCUCAUAAGAGUGUCCGGCUCGGACUCUCAACUAUUCUUGCCUUACACUACAAGUUCUACCAUAAUGACGGUUGUAACUACGGGCCUUAAGCCAUAUCCGGGUCUUAAGCCCAUCUUUGGCCCACCGUCUUCAAGCUUGUCGCCGGGCUUCUGGUGAUGACCAUUAUGAGUAACCCGGCCCCUUCUGGUGGGUGACUCUAAGGUCUAUAUCCUCAACAUUAGGCCCCAGAUUGAUUUGAGCCGGCUCAUGUCAAUCUUCAAUUCUUUCGACAGAAAAUCUCCGGCUUACAAUUGUGUGAAGGCCAUAACCCGGCGUGACGUCAUCCUCUAGACUCCGGGUAAUCCGCCGUGACGUCAUCUUCCAUUAAGUCCAUUUUUUAUUCCACCAGAUCCGCAACGAAUCUUAUCUUUACUGCCAUCCCGAAAAUCGAGGCGUUUUAUGGGGAGAUAACCACGCCGUGGUCUCCUCGUUUCUCGCGCCCACUUACGAGUCUGGCCUUAUAAAUAGUCCGGCGCGAUGAGCCUUCAGCCACCCGUCUUCCUCCUCGCGCCACUGCUCCUCCGCUCGAGCUCUGUCGCCGUCGCCGCCGCGGGUCUUCUCGUCCUCACCAACUCCGGCCGCUGCAUCAACCUGUUGUGUCCAGAGAACGGCAGCGUCCUCCGCGACUCACCAGCACCUGUAAGUCCUUGCUGCCCCGUAGAACAGAUCUGCAGUAGGGUUUCUUCUUGUUCUUCCCGUGUUUCUUCACCGUUCUUCGCAGGCCCUCGGUAGAUUUGAUUUUUUACCACCCCUUUUGAUCUUAGACUUGUAUAGAACCACUGCGGUAGCUAUUUCACUUCCAUUCCUAAUGCAAAUAGAUCCCCUUUUUACUGCAUAGAUGCUUUGUUCGAACCCGCAGACUUCUUCUGCAUCUGUUUUUAGGUCUAGGAAUUUUCCUUUUCAACCGACCGUUUUGAUCCAAAUUAUUUACUGCGAUGUGUGAAACCUGUUUUCACCACACUUAGUAAAAAA
rnacentral:lncRNA from 1 species